GCAUCCGUAGCUCAGCUGGAUAGAGUACUCGGCUACGAACCGAGCGGUCGGAGGUUAGAAUAAGUUUUCCCGAUGCA
rnacentral:tRNA from 1 species